rnacentral:rRNA from 1 species
AGCAGCCGCGGUAAUUCCAGCUCCAAUAGCGUAUAUUAAAGUUGUUGCAGUUAAAAAGCUCGUAGUUGAAUUUCGGGAUUUGUCAGUUGGUCGGGCUUCACUGUCCGUACUGACUUGAUGGAUUCUUACCUUCUGAAUAACCAGCAUGCUAUUUAGUUAGUGCGUUGGGGAAGCAGAUCUAUUACCUUGAAAAAAUUAGAGUGCUUAAAGCGGGCUAGUGCUUGAAUAGAUUAGCAUGGAAUAAUAAAAUAGGACGGCAUGGUUCUAUUUUGUUGGUUUCUAGGAUCACCGUAAUGAUUAAUAGGGAUAGUUGGGGGCAUUAGUAUUCAAUUGUCAGAGGUGAAAUUCUUGGAUUUAUUGAAGACUAACUUCUGCGAGAGCAUUUGCCAAGGAUGUUUUCAUUAAUCAAGAACGAAAGUUAGGGGAUCGAAGACGAUCAGAUACCGUCGUAGUCUUAACCAUAAACUAUGCCGACUAGGAAUCGGACGAAGUUAAUUUUAUAUGACUCG